AUACCUUUCUCGGCCUUUUGGCUAAGAUCAAGUGGAGUAUCUGUUCUUAUCAGUUUAAUAUCUGAUAUGUGAGUCAUCGACUCACACGAUAUUAACUCAAUUUUUUAAGGAGGAAGGUCCAUCACGAUAGCUUGCUAUCGCGGCCUUCAAGCGUCGCCUUGGUAUUGCACUACUGUCUUGCCUUGGGGCACUCCAC
rnacentral:snRNA from 1 species